CCUACGGGUGGCAGCAGUGGGGAAUAUUGCGCAAUGGGCGCAAGCCUGAUGCAGCCAUGCCGCGUGUGUGAAGAAGGCCUUCGGGUUGUAAAGCACUUUCAGCGGGGAGGAAGGCGUUAAGGUUAAUAACCUUGGCGAUUGACGUUACCCGCAGAAGAAGCACCGGCUAACUCCGUGCCAGCAGCCGCGGUAAUACGGAGGGUGCAAGCGUUAAUCGGAAUUACUGGGCGUAAAGCGCACGCAGGCGGUCUGUCAAGUCGGAUGUGAAAUCCCCGGGCUCAACCUGGGAACUGCAUUCGAAACUGGCAGGCUAGAGUCUUGUAGGGGGGGGUAGAAUUCCAGGUGUAGCGGUGAAAUGCGUAGAGAUCUGGAGGAAUACCGGUGGCGAAGGCGGCCCCCUGGACAAAGACUGACGCUCAGGUGCGAAAGCGUGGGGAGCAAACAGGAUUAGAUACCCGUGUAGUC
rnacentral:rRNA from 1 species